UACGUAGGGUGCGAGCGUUAAUCGGAAUUACUGGGCGUAAAGCGUGCGCAGGCGGUUCGUUAAGUUCGCUGUGAAAGCCCCGGGCUCAACCUGGGAACUGCAAUGGAAACUGGCGGGCUUGAGUGUGGCAGAGGGGGGUGGAAUUCCGCGUGUAGCAGUGAAAUGCGUAGAGAUGCGGAGGAACACCGAUGGCGAAGGCAGCCCCCUGGGCCAACACUGACGCUCAGGCACGAAAGCGUGGGGAGCAAAAGGG
rnacentral:rRNA from 1 species